UCGGGAAUAGCUGCAGAAUGCUGUGAAUAAUAUUGCGUCCAUCGAAUAUUAUCGUAUAACCAGUAUUAUGCUGUUAUUCACCGAGA
rnacentral:pre_miRNA from 1 species